CCUACGGGUGGCAGCAGUGGGGAAUAUUGCACAAUGGGGGAAAGCCUGAUGCAGCGACGCCGCGUGAGUGAAGAAGGCAUUCGUUAUGUAAAGCUCUAUCAGCAGGGAAGAAAAUGACGGUACCUGAGUAGGCAGCCCCGGCUAACUACGUGCCAGCAGCCGCGGUAAUACGUAGGGGGCAAGCGUUAUCCGGAUUUACUGGGUGUAACGGGAGCGUAGACGGCAGUGCAAGUCUGGUGUGAAAGGCGGGGGCUCAACCCCCGGACUGCUCUGGAAACUGUACGGCUGGAGUGCAGGAGAGGUAAGUGGAAUUCCGAGUGUAGCGGUGAAAUGCGUAGAGAUUAGGAGGAACACCAGUGGCGAAGGCGGCUUACUGGACUGUAACUGACGUUGAGGCGCGAAAGCGUGGGGAGCAAACAGGAUUAGAUACCCGAGUAGUC
rnacentral:rRNA from 1 species